rnacentral:lncRNA from 1 species
GGAAUAAUAAACUCAUACUAGAGAAUAUUGUUGAGUGGGUUAUAUGAAAGUGUAGGUAAGUGUUCUUGACUUAAUAAACAUUACCUUCUUUCCCAUUUCCUUAUUUUCCUUCCUCUGUACAGGGAGCCCACAACCUUCAUCUUGUCUCAUCUCACCUCUGAAGUUGAGGUUCCAGAGACUGUUGAAAAAUGCUUCUUGCUGUGUCAUCUGACUGUGACAGUGACUUGACUUGCGCUCAACGGAGGGUAGUGGAUCCCUCCUUUAUCACAGCACCUUGGAAAUCCCACCUCUUCCUGAAAACCAGAUAGAACAUAGUAAAAAGGAAGAGGUGGGCCCACCCUAAUUUUACUAACCUGUUUGCUUCUUUGACCCUUCCCACUGUGUUCCUUAUCCAAGCACAGAGGAAUGUGUUGGAACAAGGACUGUGCAAUGGUUCCAGCUGCUGUGCUCUUUCCUGGACAUACCUGCUAGAGACUACAGACCCUUGUGCCUCAGGGUAAAGCCAGGAUUUCAGUUAUUGCCAUCACAAAGUUCCUUGCAAUGCAAACUACAAAACUGCCUGGAUAUGACUAUGAAUGGUGAUCAAUCCAAGAUCUUUGAGGCUGCAGCCAACUCUAAUGCAAGCAGGAAGAAAGAAGAAGGUGUUGGUAGGGUGACUUUUUCACUUGGCUCUUGGUAUCAACUCUCAUUUGCAAAUCCCUCCCUAAGAAUAAUAGCAUAAUCAGAACCCUUUUAACUCCAAACAUAAUCUCACCAGUUGUCUUCCUGUGUGGUUGGGUGUGUGGGUGGCAGCAAAUAAAAGAAUGAUCUGAAAAGUAGAAAAAAAUAGAUGCAAAUAACUAAACAAGUCCUACCAUAAUAUAUAUUCUUUCUCCUCCUCCUCCUCCAACUCAAUCAAACAUAAUAGUGAUAAGAAAAGGGAAAAUCCAAAAGUCAGCUAUCACUAGGAAACUUCCCAAGUUCUUUGGUGCCAAACAAUAGUAGAAGCCAAGGAAGUGGUAUUUCACCCACCUGGCCUUCUUUUCAAUGGACUCCAGCUGGGUCUCCCACGUCUGGGAUAUUUAUGAGGCUCUGGGAAGGCAUUCAGAUCUUGAGUCAAACUCAAAACACCGCCUCUCUGAGAAGAGUAGUGGCAGAUUCCAGGGCUGGGGUUUCCAGCAGCCCCCUGCAUGGUUCAGGUGCUCAUAAUCUUGGCAGCUUGGGCUCAGGACUAUGAAUCUGCUCUCUAGGGAAACUCUCUACUGGCCCAGGAAAUGAAGUUGAUUGCCUUUAGAGUGUGGAUGGUGAUCUCCUUUGCCAAGUGCAGCACAGAGCAUAACUAAGAUGCCAGAUUGCCUGGGUUCAAAUUCUGAUUCCAGUUCUUUCUAGUUUUGUGAACAUAGGUAGGUUUGCUGACCUCUUUCUGCCUCAGUGCUUCUAUCUUAAAAUUGAGGGCAAAAUAAUAGGACCUAUUUCCUGAGACUGCUGUGAAGAUUUCAACAGAACUUAGCAUCUAUUAAGUGUUCUUAUCUUUUUUUUCUUGACUGUUUAAAUUGUUUUUUAUUGUGGUAAAAUACUCACAAACCAAAGUUUACCACUGAACCAUUUUUAAAUGCCCAUUCAAUAGCCUUAAGCAUAUUCUCAUUGUUGUUCAAUCAUCACCAAGCUGAAACGUGUACUCAUUAAAUAAUACUAUCCAUUCCUUUUUAUCCCCAGCCCCUGGCAACCACCAUUUUACUUUUUGUGUCUAUGAGUUUGAUUACUCUAAUUAGCUUAUAUAUGUGAAAUCAUGUUGUAUUUGUUCUUCUACAACUGACUAAUUUAUUCACUUACCAUAAUGUCAUCAAAGUUCAUAUGUGUGGUAGAAUAUAUCUGAAUUGUAUUCUUUUCUAGGGCUGAAUAAUAUUCUGUUGUAUGUAUAUAGCACAUUUUGUUUAUCCAUUAAUCCAUCAAUGCACAUUUGGCUUAUUUCCACCCUUUAGCUAUUGUAAACAGUGCUGCUGUAAACAUUAUUGUACAAAUAUCUCUUUGAAUCCCUGCUUUCAAUUCUUUUGAUUUUUUUGCUAUUUAUGCUAAAAUUCUGUCCAUUAAUACAUACUGCUUUAUGAUAAUAACCUGGUCUAAUUCUGAGAUGGCCUAAAAGUUAAAUGGCUAUCUUGGUUUCCUCCAGGAAUCUUGACUUUCAUUGUCCGAUUAAGGUAGGAAAUUAA